rnacentral:lncRNA from 1 species
CUUGUCCUUGCCAUGUGAUGUCCUGCACUGCCUUAGGACUCUGGCAGCAAGAAAGCGAUCACCAGAUGUGGGCCUCCAACCUUGGACUAGAACUGUGCACCAAAUUAUGCAUCUUUGUAAUUCACUCAGUCUGCAGUACUGUGAUAUCAGCAACACAAAACAGACAAAUACACUCAUCGCAACUUAUUGCAAAAGAAUAUUGUGGAGACAAGACAGGAGGGGCUGGAGACUCAUUUCUAAGUGAAGUUGGAGAUGCGACUGUUGACUGUCACAACAUCAAAAGCACAGAGAGAAGUUGCUGCCUUGACCUAAACGUGAACUAAAAUGCUGCCUUUCCAUUGCCCAGCUAUGUGACUCUGGACACUUAAACUCUCUGAACCUCGGCAGCCUCAUCUGUAAGGCAGAAAUAACAAUGUUUACUUU